rnacentral:lncRNA from 1 species
UCGGGGUUGGGUUCAGGGUCGGGAUUUGGGUUUGGGAUUUGGGUUCGGGGCCGGGAUUUGGGGUGGGAUUUGGGAUUUGGGUUCAGGGCUGGGUUUGGGGUCAGGAUUUGGGAUUUGGGUUUGGGGCUGGGAUUUGGGAUUUGGGUUCGGGGUCGGGAUUUGGGAUUUGGGUUUGGGAUUUGGGUUCGUAGGCCGGGAUUUGGGGUCAGGAUUUGGGAUUUGGGUUUGGGGCUGGGAUUUGGGGUGGGAUUUGGGAUUUGGGUUCGGGGCUGGGCUUUGGGAUUUGGGUUCGGGGUCGGGAUUUGGGAUUUGGGGUUGGGAUUUGGGUUCGGGGUUGGGAUUUGGGAUUUGGUUUCGGGGUUGGGAUUUGGGUCGGGAUUUGGGAUUUGGGUUUGGGGUUGGGAUUUGGGGUUUGGGUUUGGGGUUGGGAUUUGGGAUUUGGGUUUGGGGUUUGGAUUUGGGAUUUGGGUUUGGGGUCGGGUUUUGGGAUUUGGGUUUGGGGUCGGGAUUUGGGAUUUGGGUUUGGGGUCGGGAUUUGGGAUUUGGGGUGGGAUUUGGGAUUUGGGUUUUGGGAUUUGGGUUCGGGGUUGGGAUUUGGGCCGGGAUUUGGGGUCAGGAUUUGGGAUUUGGGUUCGGGGCUGGGAUUUGGGAUUUGGGUUCGGGGCUGGGAUUUGGGAUUUAGGUUUGGGGUUGGUGUUAAGUUUUGGGAUUGGGGUCGGGGCGUUGUUCAGACUCCGAUGCACGGAGUAAUGGGGUGUAGGAAUUGUGGGGCGCGGAGCCUUGGGGUGUUCAGAUCUCAAUGUAUGGUAGAGUAGAACGUAGAAGUUUUGGGGUGGCAGAGUUUUGGGGUGUAGGGCUUUUGGGGUUUGGGAGUUUUGGGGUGUAGGACUUUUGGGGUAUCAGGGUUUUGGGGUGUCAGAGUGUUUGGGUGUAGGGCUUUUGGGGUUUGGAAGUUUUGGGUUGUAGGGCUUUUGGGGUAUCAGGGUUUUGGGGUGCCAGAGUGUUUGGGUGUAGGGGCUUUGGGGUUUGGGAGUUUUGGGGUGUAGGACUUUUGGGGUAUCAG